rnacentral:lncRNA from 1 species
AUGUUUGAGAAAUCUUAUCAGUAUGUUAGUCUUAACAUUGUCAAUUUUUCUCUCCCACAGGUCGGCAGUUGUAGCUCGCUGCUGCAAGGCCACAAAUCCUUGGAUGGAUCUUCUUGCUCCACUACAACAGGAGACGAGUCAGAAAUCAUCUCGACACCCAUCCUGGAAACAGUCGCAACCAAUCACUUUACCAAGACAAAUGCCCCGGUUAUUGAGGAUGAAAGUGGGUUUUCAUCGAUGAGUUCCUUCCAAGAAAACAAUUCUGCAGAAUACCGGAAUGGAUUUUGCCAUGACCUCCGAUCCAGAUUACCGGAAAUCCAUGCCUACCCUGAAAUAGGUUUGCCACUGAUAGUAGAUCCAGCCCAGCAUCAUCGUAGAUGGAGUUCAACACCGGUAGACCAUUUGUAUGCCAAUGUGCCGCAGAACAAUACAUCUUAUUGCAGUAAUGAAGAUAAAAUGUCAGUAUGUUGGGUGUGAAUAUCAUUUCCUCGCCCUUUCUGCUUGUUGUGGGACAGUUUACUUCCACUGUAAAAUGUUGUAUGUUAUGAAUGUUAAACAAUUUCAUAGGCUUUCAAAUCCUAUGAACAUUCUCAUGCAGUAAAAUCAAGUGUACAAUAUUCAUAACAAAUCACAUGAAAGGAACUUACCUAUACUCUCUGUCUUCAAUAAAUGUCUUCAUGCCAACCAUGAGUCAGCAUCCACAAUUCCAAUAAAACAAAUGAUAGUUUUAAGAUUGACCAAGGAGGGGGGGGGGGCUGACUGAUCUCUCAAAUUUUUCUACUUGACAAAACCUGAAGGAAAUAGUUAUGAAGUCCCUUGGAAUUUAUUGGUUCAACAUUUAGAUAUACAUUAAACACAUUAUUUUUAUGUGAUGAAAGUUAUUCUUAUCUACUUAUAUCAAAUUUUGUGUAAAUUGUGUCAUUCUACCUGGUCAUUUUAAUAUCUGCCAAAUCUUGUGAUAAAUCAAGUAGAAGCCCAAAUUUUGUUGUCCUUCAGAUGUCUCGAGUAAGUAAUCCAGUUCUUCAUGGACUUUUUAGUCCUGGUUCAUUUUGUCAUCUCCUGCACCAAGGAGCGUAUUUGACACACACUGUUGAGUAUUCUUAGUUUCUUAGGAACCUUUUUUUUUCACAGAAUUUUUUCAAGAAUUCGUCUGAAAAUUUUAGUUUUUUUUCACAAGUGUGCAGAAAAAUCAUUUAAAGUUUCUAGCAAAUUCAUACAACAGUUCUUAUUUAAAAAAUAACAUAGGAGUAAGAGAUACUGAAACAGCGCUACUUAGAUACAAUCCUUCAUUCAGGAGUCGGUGAUUUGUAAUAACUGGAGGAAAGUACUCUUUGGCAUCUCGCUACUCAAAAAGUGACUGAUGUUUUCCGAAAUUAGUGGCUUUCUUAAAUUUUCAGGAGUUGUUGGCAAUGAGUCUCUUCUCAGUUUAUAUUUUUUGAAGGAUCGUUCAUUCUGAUCAGUCGUAAAAUUACAGCCUUUCAAAAUUUAGAGUUCUUGCCUCAAAUAUACCUACCCACUGAUAGUAACUUACCUGGUUCCCUGAGUUCUGAACCAAAUUACGUUCUUUUUUGCUGUCGUUAAAGACAAGAACGUAAGACAAAAACAAAAUAUCUUGGCAAACAUUUAUAUAUUCUCUAUUCAUUAAUAUGAAGAAUGUCUGUUUAAUAAUUUCGUUUGUAAAUCAUGUAUAGUUCUUUAAGAUUUUUCUUUAUCUAUCUUUCAUGAUCUCUUCGUAUGAAUGAAUGGAAUUUUGAUUUAUAUUUAUAAAAGACUCCUAGAAAAAGCUACAUAUUUUUCAAUUUAUCAGGUUUUUAACUAUUUAUGAGUGAAUUUCUGCAGAAAAAGAUACUUUUGUACUCCAUAAAACAAAAUGUUACCAGGCCUGUGAAAGGGGACCUUUUCGUCCCGAAAAAUUUUCCCUAUUUUUUUUUUCAAGGUAAUCUGGAAAUAUUGGUGAAAGUCUGACCCUGAAAGCUCAAAAGUUGAAGGAGAUAUGAGUUCUGAACUUCCAAUUUGAAAACUCCUAAGCCGAGGAAAAAUGUUGUUUCAGCUUUCGCAAAAAGUCAAGGAGAAUUUUCUCUAUGAAAUAUAUGGUCCCCUUUCACAGAUCCGGUCACAAAUUUUGAUUCUAGCACAACUGACCAUCACAUCGUUUCUAAGAAAUUUUGCUAUGGAAAUGGCAUGAGCAUUAAUCCUAGCAGAAGUUGCAUUCCUUUAAUGGUGUCUUUAAGUUGAAGAGAAGUAGUUUUUAGAAAAAAUUGUUUAAACAUUUUGCUUUCAUGUUUCGAGGCUAAAUCAUAUUCUACACUUUUUGCCUUGAAAAAGCACCAACUUUUUCUCUUUUCAACUUCUAAUGCAGGCAUCAAAAUUAGUAUUUGUAAAAGAGCUGUAGUCCAACUUACAGGACAAAUUUCUGUUCAGGUAUUUGGGUGUCAUUUUUUGUGGUUUUCACCCCUAAGUAGUGUUAAUGUGAAUGUAGAGGUAUUAUAUUCCUAAAUUUUUUUUCACUGUACUCUGCUCUUUCCCAUCUCCCACCGCUUUCAAAAAAAUUGCAGAGUUCUUUUAGUUUUUUGAAGAUGUUUUGAUCUUUCUUUUAAGUUUUCUCCCCAAUGCUUACCUUUUGUCACUUUUUUCCUCUCUUUUUGUUUUUUCUCUUUGUAAUUCUUUAUUCUUUGCUGAUCAUGGGACAGCUAACACGUACUUGCCGCUUUCUAAUGAAUCAAGAGCAGUCAUGUUUUACUUUGGCUUGCGUGUUGAGGCUCGGAAGACUUUAUACCGAUUAUUAAGUUACAAACUUCCUCUCACGAUAAUUUUACCUGCUCUCAAUAGAUUGAGUAGAUGAUAAAAAACUUAUUCAACCCCACUUUUUGAUUUGAAACUAUAGGGGAAUAGGUACAUAAUGCCUAUCUCAGAUGGCAACAAUGUGAAUGUUUACUUAUAUUUCAUUUUUCCAAAGGAAAACCUAAGAACAGCCUCUUUUGAAAUUUUUCAUGAUUUUCUUUCAUUCAUUCUAAAAAAAAAUAAGAAAAUUCCCAUUCAAAAUUGUACAGGAGAGUUUGACUGGUUGCCCUCAGGAAAAUAAAAAAUAAUUGGGAAUGUUUAAAAGCAGAUACUGAGUUCCGCAUUUUGCAUCUAGCCAUCAAUUUGCGGUAAGGAAUUAGCUGAUCAACCGAUUUUAUAAAUGCAAAAGUAAAAUUAAGGAAUAUUUGUUUAAGUGAGUCUCCUUACAGCAGUUUUCUUCUGUUUGGUAGUGGACUGUCUUUUUGUACUUAUCUUUUUGACUCAUCUUUUUUUCUUGUAGUUUGUUAGUUCUUUUUUUCUCUCUUUCUCUCUCUCCAUGAUUUUUAGUAAAAUUAUUUAAAGAUUUAUCAGUAAUCUAUCACAAAAAUAGUCUCUUGUCUAGAAAAAUGUUUGCGCAAAAUCUGCCAACCAUCAAUUUAAAAGUAACAGUGUUGUGCAACCAUGCAAUUUCAUGUUAUAGCAUAUUCUCUUUUAUUUUAUUCAUUAAUAACUUCUUGUCAGCCUUAACCAAGACUGCUCCUAUUCUCCACUGAAAAAUCUAUUUUUGUAUAUGUUGUAAAUAUUUAAUUUUUCCACCCUAUGCUACUGGUACUCACCAUAAGCCUGCCUUUAAACCUAUCCAGUGCUAACAUGUAAUUGCAGUUUAUUGGAAACUGCCAGAAAAACUGUCACUAUCACUAAAUUUUCUUUGGAUUUAUGUAAGAACUUUAUUUUUUUUACAACGGCUCCUGAGGGUUCUUGACUUCAUAAAUCUAAUGAUACAUGUCUCCAAUGUUUGGACAGACAUUUCAACUUUAAAUAGGAUUCUAAAUCAAAUUGUCGUGUAAAUUGUUAAAAAUUAAAAAACCUUCCGUUUUUUGAAUUGCAUUCUGCCUACUAAUCGGUAAAAACAGUCAAAUUAUUUUUAGUGUCAUUAUUUACGAAUGUAUAAGUAAUCCGUCACAAAAGUAGUCUGUAUCACAACCCUGUGUACGCUCCAAGUGUUCGGCACCCUUAAUUGGACGAUCAGGCUAACUGGAUUUCACAAUGUCUAAUUUUCUUUCGUGUUUUUUUCUUUCUUUUUUCUUCAGCAAACUAACGUCAUUAAUGCCUUUGAACUUCCUCUGGCUUCACUGUAUAUCAUGAAAAAUACACUCCUAAUUUCAGGAUGUUGCCUCGUUUUUUUGUCCGUAAAAUAAAACAAGAGAAGAAAUCAGGCAAUCCCUUAUGUAGUCAGUCUGAUUCUUGUUAUGAUUUUUGAUAGAUCUAAAUUAGUGCAUCAGGAACAAGUUUUCAUUUUUAAAAUGACUACCUUAGGAACUUUAUGUAAUAUAUUAAUUGUCAAAGGGUGGAAGAUAUCGUAAAUCUUGGUUCAACAUCAGAGGAACAAAGUUUAGCUAUUUUGUCUAAAGGUUACAGGUAGAUUUUCUCGGUUUUUUUCAUGUAGCACCAGCGUUCCUUGAAAUCUCUUACAGGAUCUCUUCCAGAAUUGUGAACGAAUUUGUUGAGUUUAUUCUUUUUGACUCUUAUAAAAGAGUCACUCUAACUAAGUUUUCUGCCUUUCAGUAUCCAAAAUAAACCCUCAGGGUUAGUUAAUUAGUUUCCAAAUUUCUCUUCACUCUUUCAAUUGUGUUCUCUUUAGUAUGGAUAAUUUUGUCUCUUAAAUGUGUUUCUCAGUAGUUUUGAGUGAGUGUGAGUGUUAAAAAUUUCGAACUAAGGCUUAAAUUUCAUAACACCACUCCUGUAUAUAUUUACUCUAAAGUGUGUUUUUGAGUUUUUCGUUUCUUAAAAAAUCAAAACUUUUACCGAUCAAUUGAACCAUUUAAUUGUGGUGGUUGUAAAAUUUGUUAAUAAAAGUAUAUUUGAACAUAAUUUUUUUU